GUCUCCGUAGCUUAGUUGGUAGAACACCCGACUACGGUGCGGCAGAAGUCGGGUUCGAGCCCCGCUGAAGGCA